UAAGCUAGCUUCGAAAAUUACCAAUGAUUCAUAGAGUAAACGUGAAAGUCAUGCAACCUACCAUCAACUAUUUUGUUCAAACUCAUUGUAUUCUACUGAAUGUGUCAUCAAAAUGAUACAGGAUUAAUCUUAAUUAUCUGCUGUGUGUAUUGGACUUGCUAGAUCACCGACCCCAGCAUGGAACAAUCUCUCAUUCCAUCUUAUAGAGAAUCUUGGAUAACUGAUUUGCGGUUUCAUUUGUUUCUAAAUUGGCAUGACUGAAUAUAUAUGAGAAGUUAUGUCCUUCCAAGAAAAGGACUUAGGCCUACAGUCAACAAGAUUCCUUGUUUGCUAACCCGUUGGCUGCUACCCAUGAAUCUCCCUAUUUUUCAACAACAAAAAAGAGGAUAAAUAUUGUGAUCAUGCUAUCAUCAUUAUGUUGCCUAUAAGACCAAAUGUGGGGCAUCUGGUUAUCCCUCCAAAAUAAGGCAAUGACCGCACGUUCAACGCGGAUCAUUCGCUUUGUCAUCGAACUUGACUCAUUCCAUCUUCUGGAUUGCUUAGGAAAGCUGAUUGGUGUUACCUGUCAACCUGUCCAUUUAGGUAAUGACCGAGAAGAUGCGGCCUACAUGAACAUCAUUUAGGUGGCCAGCAUCAUUCGACUACCCAACCGGCUUCUACUACCCUGCUCUCAACACAGCACGGAGUUUUACCCUUAGAUUUUUGGCUGUUUGCGAUGUGUGAUGGCGUUUCCUUGGACGAGAUGAUGAUUUUGGCGAGAAAAAUAUUGCAUGAGUUCUAACCUUCAGGUUCCUAAAUAUGAAAAGUAAUGUUCUUUCAAGAAAGUCAAUGAGGUCCCUUACUCCCUUGUUUGCUAACCCAAUGGCUGCUACCCUUGAAUCUCCCUAUUAGCUCCUUACACAGUCCCUCUUGAUUUGAGGGUAAUCCUUCGCUAAUGAUCAUGGACUCCAUUGGUGAAACUGAAAACCGACGAGAGAAUGCUGUAAUCCAAGACUGAUAAAUUGUGUAGUUAGAUUAAAUUACAAGUGCAUUUCUGGGC
rnacentral:lncRNA from 1 species